GACCAGCUUAGGCAGACAGCAGGACAGUGGGGUCUGGAUAGUCACAUGGGUCUGGAAGUUCCGCACAUGUAACCGUGGAGUUUCAGCGGAAGGCGGCGUUUGCUCCUAGUACUUCCUGGUGAAUCGUGUGCUGAGAGAGGUCCUCCAGCAGCACCCAGGGCUGCCCCCACCUGGGCACAAGGCGUAGUGACAAGGCCGGGCCAAGGCUGGCCCAGCCACACUACCCAGCUCAAAGGUGAGGUUUACUAGAUGUUUUUGUUUGCUUUUUCGUGGUACCAGGAUUAAACCCAGGGCAUUUGCACUGAGCUAUAUCUCCAGCGGUAUUUUGACUGUUCUGAAACAGGAGCUUGCUAAUUGAUACAUAUCCCAGGUGGGGCUCAAGCCUGUGAUCUUGCUGCCUCAGGCUCCAGGCAUGCGAUGGUUCCAGAGGCAGAACCGCACCCAGUUCCAAAGGAGCAUUCAUCAUAGAAAGGUAAUUCACCGCAGGACGCUCUGGACACAUCAGUCACCUGCUCACUCGCCCACCCAGAACAGGGGACACAGGAAAUGGUAUGGAGACAACGCGAGAGGUCACUCGUCCUCUGAGGAAAAUAUAUUUAAAAAAGUAAACCGAAGCGUUUCACUGCUUCCCUGGGCCCCUGGCCUGUCAGGGUGACAGCGGAAGUAGUGGUGUCGGCACUUUCCCCAACAGUGUCCCGGGGGUUUCCAGCUCAGGGGCGUGGGGCGAGGCAUCCCAUGGGUGAGGUGCAGCGACAGCACACUGGCAAACCAGAAAGGGGCUCACGCAGAGGCCCUGCGGCCAGGAGUUACACCCUUAGGACUGAACACUCGUUUGUGCUGGCUGCAAAAGACAAAACAAACCCCCUCAGGAGGAGGCUGGGAGCAGUUUUGACUUCAGAGCAAGAUUUUCAUUAAACCUCUAAAAAAUAAAAC
rnacentral:lncRNA from 1 species